UAAUCUAACCCUGCAAGCAAGGUGCCAAUGAAAGAGAGACAGCAACAAACUUUGAAUCUAAACAUGUCUGAAAGAGGCUUACUGUCCUAUAAUUUCAUGGAAACAGGAAAAGUAUAAAAAAAAAAACCCUCUGAAAUGAGAACCCCUCACACACAUCCUCUCUACGCUGCUUAAAAACAGCAAGCACUACACAAUUCACCCAGUCCACAUCUACAAGCAAGGUGCCACAGCAACGAUAAAACACAGAAGACUCAAAAAGAAACCAACCUAAGAAAACAGCCUCAAGAUUUUAACAAUGGUUAAACUGUAUAUUCUUGGAGAAGAAAUGGGGCUAAACAUCAGUAAAUAGAGAAACAGUGGAAUUGAAUUGGAUAUAAGAUUCUUAACUGGCCAGUCUCAAGACAGCCCCUUAAAUGGCUUCUUCUAAAGAAAUCUAUCAGACUCUCCAGAGGCAACAAGCAAACUAACUUUACACCAAAUGCUAUGAAUAGUGACAGAGAGAAUGUCUACACUGCAGCUGCUACACAGGCACAGCUAUGGUGCUGCAGCUGUGCCACUGUAGUACAGAUGAUUCCUGCAUCAACAGAAGAGAUCGCCCCCCGCACCCCCAAUCAACGUAGUUAAUCCUCUCCAAGAGGUGAUAGCUAGAUCAACGGAAGAAUUCUUCCAUCAGCCUAGCCACAUAUACACCGAGGGUUAGGUCAACCUAACUAUGAUGUGUGCAGAUGUGGUCUCCCCAUCUCAAAAAAGACAUAUUGGAAUUGGAAAAGGUUCAGAAAAGGGAAACAAAAAAUGAUUAGGGGUAAAGAAUGGCUUCCAUAUGAGGAGAGAUUAAUAAGACUGGGACUUUUCAGCUUGAAAAAGAGAUGGCUAAGAGGAGAUAUGAUUGAGGUCUAUAAAAUCAUGACUGGUGUAGAGAAAGUAGAUAAGGAAGUGUAUUAUGAGAAGUAGUAAACAAGAACUAGGGGUCACCAAAUGAAAUUAAUAGGCAGCAGGUUUAAAACAAAAGGAAACAUUUCUUCACACAAUGCAGAGUCAACCUGUGGAACUCCUUGCCAGAGGAUGUUGUGAAGGCCAAGACCAUAACAGGGUUUAAAAAAGAACUAGAUAAAUUCAUGGAGGAUAGGUCCAUCAAUGACUAUUAGCCAAGAUGGGCAGACAUGGUGUACCUAGCCUCUGUUUUCCAGAAGCUGGGAAUGAGCAACAGGGAUGGAUCGCUUGAUUAUUACCUGUUCUGUUCAUUCCGUCUGGGGCACCUGGCACUAGCCCCUGUCAGAAGACAGGAUACUGGGCUAGAUGGACCUUUGGUCUGACCCAGUAGGGUUAUUCUUAUGUUCUUAUGAUGCUCAGGGCAUGAAAUUUUUCACAGCCCUGAGUGACAUAGCUACGUCAAGCUAAUUUAUAAGUGUAGACCAGACCUGAUUAAUUUGGCAGUGAUACAUUGAAAUUUGUGUACAUAAUAGCCAAGGAAUUAAACCAGAGUCUCCCCAAUUUCCAUACCCAGAUGUGGCCCUCAGGCCAAAAAGUUUGCCCACCUUUGCUCUACUACAUAGUUUUGUUUUCUUUUAUGUUUUAGUCUCAAAUUAAGGUUGCCAAUUUUAGUUGGAUUUUUCCUGGAGCUUCCAUUGCAUGAGAAUCUUUAAUUAAAGAUUAAUCUUUAAUUCCUGGAGACUCCAGGACAAUCCUGGAGGUUUGGCAACCCUAUCCGAAAUGUGGCUUAAAUUAAAGUUUAGAGAUUAGUAUCUGUUUAUGUGCAGGACACUUUUCAUAAUUGUUUGGGCUAAUAAAAAUUAUUCGGAGUACAACAAUUAUAUCAAUAGUAAUUUCAGAAGAGUUAUCAGCUCAGGGGAAAUGUGGUAUGUGAGGUUCUGACCUUCUGCUGUAAAUCUCAGUAAUCAGGAUUUCAGACAGUUUCUAAGAGCUCCAGGAUUAGAGUUGAGAGUGAAGUUAUCAAUUUUAACAUAAAUAAUUUUCAAUGGGCCAAUCUUUAUAUAUGAUAGGGAAAGAUGUAUUUGGGGUUCCAGACACACCAUUAACCAGCUAUAACUUAUAACUAGAGAGUUGACAUUUGGUCUCAAAAUAGUCUUUAGCACAGACUCUCUUUUGUAUUACAGAAGUGAGAGUUCACAAAGGGGAAAAUGUGGACAUUUUGUUCAGGUUAAAUAGACAGCAGCAAAAUGGCACUGGGGGUCGGGGGGGGGGGGGGAAGAGAAUCAAUCAUUCUCCAAUGAAAAGGGAUAUAGCUAAUUAGCUAAAGCUGGUGGACUAAAGACACAAUAAUUCUAGGUUCCAUGACAUGGUAUGAGUAGAGCAACAGACCAGAAUUCAUGUGACAUAAUAAACUAGGGCUUAAUAAUAGUCUGACGCUCCCUCAUCAAGAAAGGCAGCAUAACAUAAUGCUUUAAGAAAGUAAUAAAAAGUUGGUCUUCCCUGUACACAUUGGAACUCUGACACAAAAGUAGGAAAUUCUCUGCAUUUUUUAAACAUUUUAAACUGCGUCAUGUAGUGAACAAAGUGACAAUGCAAAACAUUCUUUCCCAUGGUUCAGACAAGAUUGUGUUCAGCUCUUGUCUAGUAAAUGCUUAUUUAAAACUUAGAUGUGUAAUCAGAGAUCACUUAUUAGCCACAGAACCACCAGAUGUUUGCAAAAGUUAUGUUAACCUUUCUUUCAAUGAUUUAUUUUUACAUGUUUUAAGCACAUGGCCAAAAGCAUACACAAGCAAUGAAUCUGAGUGAGUUUACCCCUAGUUAUUUCCUAAUUUUGUAAAGGAUGAACUGACUGUGUUGAAGUGAAGAAUCAGUUUAAUAUUUGAUACAACUUCUCCCUGUGGGACUGUGUCCUACUCUGACUGAUAUAUGAACUCGAUCUAAUAGAUCUUUUCUAUCCCUAAUGAAUAAAACUAUAGCAACUAUUACAACAUUGGCUGUUUCUAUGUCUGGUUUACUAUGACUGCAGAAUUACGAGCAAAUUAAUCACAUAUGGUUCUCUAUAUAAUGGUGUAUAGACACAUUUGGGACUUGUUGACAAUUUACAAGAUAAAAGUAAAAUUAUCUAAUUGUCUCUACUCAAACCUACUGCAUACAGGCACUCCAAACAGUCUGUGCUAGAAACUGCAGUUUUUUGAACAAUUUCAGCCCAUUAUGUGAAACAGUCAUUGUUUUUGAGAAAAAGCUAUUUAAGUUUAUAGAAAAAAUGAUUAAGCAUACUGCAACUCACCAAAGCAGUUGAAGGUAUUUAAUGUACUGAAAAGCAUCAAAUGCAAAUCAGAACAAAGUAAUAUAACCUUUUAAUCAUUAGUUAUGGGCCACUAGUAUUGGAAUACCUAAAGUCCCUCAGAUCAGAUACUUCAGAUCUCCUGUGGUAGUCUAAUGACUUAAUUCCUCUUUUCUCACUUUGGGCAACUGUUGCUGUGAAGUAUGGGAUGUAAUAAUCAUUAAAAAAAUAGUAGUAUUUUGCAAUGUGGCUAACUUUCCUCACCCACACAGAUUCAGUUACUUAGGUGACCAAACUACCAUCCUAUUGUUCUUCACUGGUCUAUUGUGUUUCCCUUGGCUGUCCAAAUCUGUAUUACUUCCCAUUGAAUAUGGUAUUCACAAUUAUAAACACAACUAUAACCAUAUAACUGUACACCAGUUUUUUUUUCUACUUGUCACUCUACAAUAAAAUGUAUUUUUAACA